AGGUUUAAGGUCUCGAAGGUGAACCUGCGGAGGGAUCAUU
rnacentral:rRNA from 1 species